rnacentral:rRNA from 1 species
GAUGAACGCUCGCUACAGGCUUAACACAUGCAAGUCGCGGGGCAGCAUGGGGGUUGCUUGCAAUCCCCGAUGGCGACCGGCGCACGGGUGAGUAACGCGUAUCCAACCUGCCCUUCACCACGGGAUAACCCGGCGAAAGUCGGACUAAUACCGUAUGUUGUCCAUUGACGGCAUCCGAUUUGGACGAAAGGUUUGGCGGUGAAGGAUGGGGAUGCGUCCGAUUAGCUGGACGGCGGGGUGACGGCCCACCGUGGCGACGAUCGGUAGGGGUUCUGAGAGGAAGGUCCCCCACACUGGAACUGAGACACGGUCCAGACUCCUACGGGAGGCAGCAGUGGGGAAUAUUGGUCAAUGGGCGUAAGCCUGAACCAGCCAAGUAGCGUGCAGGAUGACGGCCCUAUGGGUUGUAAACUGCUUUUAUGCGGGGAUAAAGUGGCCCACGUGUGGGUUUUUGCAGGUACCGCAUGAAUAAGGACCGGCUAAUUCCGUG